GCGGGGGUUCCCUAGCCUGGCCAAUGGGGCGGGACUCAAGAUCCCGUGGCGUAGGCCUUCGUGGGUUCAAAUCCCACCCCCCGCA
rnacentral:tRNA from 1 species